AAAAAGAAGGGAUUAGUAUAGAUUUCCGUGACAUUUUUAUGGCAAUGUAAUAGGAAGUUUCUUCUCAAAAAAUUAAAUAAGCCAAUCUUUUAAAUUGGUAAUAGUUAAUACUUUAUUAAUCAUACGCUAAUUACUUUAUUUGACCGUCGGUGGGAAUGGGGAAAGAGAAGAGAGGAUAAUUGAUGAUAAAAUAUUUUUGUUUUACGGGCUUGUUUAGAUUGAUGCACAAAGCAAGCCGAUCAAAAUCGUUGCUCACAAAACAAUUUGGCCAACCCAUUAAUACCAAAAUUUUAGUAAUGCUCAUCCUGUGUCGUACAAGUUAGUCUCAAACCAAAACGAUGGCCAAAUCGAUCCUGCUAAGGAAUUAGGGUGUGUUUGAGAAUGAGAGGAUUGAAGUCACCGCCGACAGCAGCACCUCCAGAAGUGCCUGCCGAUGGAAGUCACUGCCGCCGUGGGCCUCGGACCGCCGUCGCCGCCGCGACGGGCGCCCCUACCACGAGCUCGCCUUGCUGCCGCCGCCACGUCGUCGCGAGCUCCGCCGCCCCCGCCACGAGCUCGCCCGAUCCGGCCGCCGGGGGGGCCGGAUCCGCCUCCAGCGCGGCCGGAUCCGGCGCCUCUGCCGCCACCGCCAUCCCUGCCGCCGUCGUCCCAGCCUCCGCCGUCCCCACCGCCAUCGACCCAGCCGCGCCCCUGCCGUCGUCGUCGCCUUCCUCGCCGCCAUCUCUAUCCCCAUCGCCAGUCGCCACCCCUGUCACCGUCGCCACGCCCUGGGCUGCUCCCCCGGCUGCCCAACGAGACGACGUCAACGAGCGAGGAGCCCCGCCGCCUCCGUCCUUGCCGCCGCGCGGCUUUGCCGGCGGCCGCUCAAGCGGCGUCGAGGUGGAGGAGGAAGAUGGGGGGAGGGGGCGGCCGGAGAUCGAUGCCUUCCGUGCUGCCCCUUGGGGAGGGCGACGCGAGAGUUUUUCCCUGCAGCGAAAACAUAUUCAAUUUUUAUAAUAGUUUGAGCUUAAGUUUGAGGUGGGUGCGUGCGGUGAUCUCAUCAUGGUCAUUGCCGACGCAUUGUUGUGGUGGUCAUCGCCGACGAGGUCUCGAGCCCACGCUUCUUCGCGGUUGAUUGAGCUGCUCCACCCCAAUCUGGCCCAUCACCAGCGGCGGCUGGAUCCCUCGACCUCAAGGUCCGAUACGUCGUCUAUAAAGGGCAGAGAAGCUUGAGGUCAUCCUACCACCAGAUCCACGCUGUUAAGCGCUCAUCGUCGUCUCCUGCUUUGCGCCACCAAGCUCGUUGGCAAGGUUAGCAGCGACGACCGCCCCCACAAGGUCGAACUGCCACGCUUUCCCACCAGAUUAUCUAGCUAGGUGACAUGCCUCGACCGACCACAAGGGUCCCACGUGCUCCCUUCGGUGACAACAAUAGUCCUCUCAUAGUGCGACCAUGUACGAUCGUGGCGAAGCUCCUAGAGCACAUGGACGAGGAGGGCAUGGAAAGCCAAACAUGAACUUGAGGAGGAAGUCGAGGACUUUGGUUGGCUCUUCUUUAUGGAUAGAGUUAAUACAAGAGAUCUUCUAUAUAGAAAGCAUUGUGUUCCUGACAAUGCAACUGUCUAUUGCGCCUGCUGCUCUUAGAAUAUAUAGGGGAAACAAGGGAACAUCUUUUCUUUACUCGCAGUUUCAGUAUGCAGUUGUUGGAGUGUGCUGGGUUGGAAUUGGAGCACUUCCCAGGAGUUUCAUCGUAUGAUCCAAUCACAGAGUGCUUUUCUUUCACAGAGUGCUUUUCUUUCUCUAAUCUCUGUUUCAUGGAACUUAUGUUUUUGGCUACCUAGAAUAUUUGGAAGAAGAGAAAUAACCUAAUUUUCAAUGGAAUUUAGCCUGAGGUUCUCUCCUGGAAAAGGAGUUUAAAGUUAGAUUUGAGUCUACAUUUACCUAGGCUUAAGGAGAUUCAUCCAAGGCUUACGUGGUUUAAAAGUGCGUUUGCUGCCGCUUUCAAUGAGCGAUUAAAAUAGGGUCUUUUAGGUGUAAAAAGUCAAAUGUAAUUAAAGUAUACUCCCUCCGUCCCAUAAUAAGCGUACUUGUGGGUUUCAGUGUCCAACUUUGACCAUCUGUAUU